rnacentral:rRNA from 1 species
AUUGAACGCUGGCGGCAUGCCUUACACAUGCAAGUCGAACGGCAGCACGGGAGCAAUCCUGGUGGCGAGUGGCGAACGGGUGAGUAAUAUAUCGGAACGUGCCCGGUCGUGGGGGAUAACGUAGCGAAAGCUACGCUAAUACCGCAUACGAUCUACGGAUGAAAGCGGGGGGAUCGCAAGACCUCGCGCGAUUGGAGCGGCCGAUAUCAGAUUAGGUAGUUGGUGAGGUAAAGGCUCACCAAGCCAACGAUCUGUAGCUGGUCUGAGAGGACGACCAGCCACACUGGAACUGAGACACGGUCCAGACUCCUACGGGAGGCAGCAGUGGGGAAUUUUGGACAAUGGGGGCAACCCUGAUCCAGCAAUGCCGCGUGAGUGAAGAAGGCC